GGCUGCUUCACAUGGUAUCUCCAUCUGGUCAGAAGUGAUGGUGCAGCCACAGAGAUGGAGAAUCUUCAAUCUAACAACAACAAAAAAGAAGAUGAAAACAAAGGAUCACAGAUUAUCUGGAGUGGAUACAGCUGAGCCUGGAUUCUAAGCAUGAUAAAUGCAUGAAAAAUCUUUCAAAUAACCUUGACUAUGACUAGUACUUACUGUUUCUCAAAGGAGAAAGGUAGCAUCAAACUUGAGAAUUACAAGUCUGUUGUUAGAAUUUGUCACCUGUCUGUGUUUAGUGAGGGGAUGUUGAGAAUACCUAAGUUAAAAACCAGCCAUAUUCCAAAGGAAAGGAUGUUGGCCCUUUGAGAGAUAUCAGAUGUCAGUAUAUCCAGCCCAUGACCCACUAUUGUAGGGCCCAUUCACUGAAAUGGUUUUUAUGUUUAAAAAAAAUCAAAAGAAACAUAUUUUAGGACAUGUGAAAGUUAUAUGAAAUUCAAAUUUCAGUGUCCAUAAAGCUUUACUGUAACAUGGUCUCACUCAUUAGCUUUCACACUGCAAGAAAAUGGCUGAGUAGCUGUGACACACAUAUGGCCUGCAAAGCCUGAAAUAGUUCCCCUCUGGCCCUUUACAGAAAGUUUGUCAACCCUGCACUGUAGGAAAAAGGGAAGGAUGAACACAUUUCAUGUAUUCUCAUAGCACAAGUUAAAUUUAUGCAUUGCUAAGGAACCUUCUUAUUUUCAAACCAGUCUUUUACCUCCGGCACCUCUAAAAUUUUUUAAAACAACAUAGUAAUCAACCUGUAGGGAAAGAAGUGAAGUCAUCACAAGGAAAUGGUAGAAUGCAGGAAGACUGGAAAUUAUAUUAACUUACUUAAAAUUUUAAAAAUAAGAAAAUACCAACUGACCAUCAUCUGCAUAACCUUAUGCAAUUUUGUCUUCUUAAUAUUACAGAAGGAUCCUAUGAUCAAUUCUCCUUCAAGAGUAUUAAUUUUGCCUUUGUGAAGUAUUGGUAGGCCUCUUUUUAGAUGGCAGAAAGAAUCAUGAUGUUUAUUUUGUUCCCCAUGUUGCCUUACCUUCCAGCAAAUUCCAACUUACAGUCUGAAUUGAGUCUGUAUAGACUUCCAUUGUUAAACUGCAGUUCUCAGCUUAACCCCAAUUCUAUUUAUAUUCUUUCUGUAAUUGGUUUCCAAUCAACUUUUUCUUAAUAUAAUUUUGAAUUGCUCAGUUGUAUGUGUGUGCGUG
rnacentral:lncRNA from 10 species